GUGUGUCCAUGUCAUGAGACAAAUAUGUUUGAAAAUUCCUUCUAAUUUACUGCACAUGGAAUUAACUCACACACAAGUUCACAAAUAUGAUUUUUCAAACCGUUAUGGUUAGCCGUUGCAUGCAGGUGUAGUUCAAAUUUGAAUUACGGUUACUAAAUUUCUAGAAAAUCACAUAAAUGUCUUUAAAAGCUCAAAUUACCCCUAGAAUUUUCCAAAAUUCCACAUUACCAUUGUAGUAGUGCACGUCAAACGUAGAAAAAAAUUGAAGGCCGUAACAUGAAGCUAUCUCCCGUUUGUCAUCAAACAUGCAUUGUUCCCUCUCGGAAAAAUGAGCCUUCUAGUGAGUUGCUCCGGUUUGUGAGGGGUGUGUGUCCAAACUUUCGUCAAACAUGCCAAUAUUUUUACCACAUCAUCUUGGUGGCAUGACAUUACAUCAAGCAAGGUUUCAUGUGUUUCUCAUAUUUUUUAAUUUUUUUGGAAUUAAAAUGCCAUUUCACUCCAUGCAUACAUAUGCAUGUGUCCAUGUCAUGAGACAAAUAUGUUUGGAAAUUCCUCUAAUUUACUGCGCAUGGAAUUAACUCACACACAAGUACGCAAAUAUGAUUUUUCGAACCGUUAUGGUCAGGCGUUGCUUGUAGAUGUAGUUCAAAUUUGAAUUACGAUCAUUAAAUGGCUAGAAAAUCACUUAAAUGUCUUUAAAAUGUCAAAUGACCCCUAGAAUUUUCCGAAAUUUCACAUUACAGUUGUAGUAGUGCACGUCAAACGUAGAAAAAAUUUGAAGGCCGUAAGAGGAAGCUAUCUCCUGCUCGUCAUCAAACAUGCAUUGUUCCCUCUAGGAACCACGAGCCUUCUAGUGAGUUAUGGUUAGCCGUUGCAUGCAGGUGUAGUUCAAAUUUGAAUUACGGUCACUAAAUUUCUAGAAAAUCACAUAAAUGUCUUUAAAAGGUCAAAUUACCCCUAGAAUUUUCCAAAAUUUCACAUUACCAUUGUAGUAGUGCACGUCAAACGUAGAAAAAAAUUGAAGGCCGU
rnacentral:lncRNA from 1 species